UGACAGACCCUAAUCUUGGACCCGAGUGAAUAGAGAACUCUUCUUGCAGUUUAAUCAUGAAAAACUCCCCAAGAGACAGAAGUGUAGAGCCAGGAUUGGGCACAGUCUGAGAAGGGAGAGGGUUCCAAGUAGUAACAGCUGAGGGAAGGUGUAGAGGUGAGCAAGGAUGAGGGUAGUUUAGCCCCAGAGACUUGGCGUAGGGAAAGAAGAGUCAUUCACUCUUGUAUCCAUCAUUCACUUAGCAAACAGUCGCAAGAGCAGCUCUACAUCGGCAUGGUACCAGGAAACACAGAGAUGAAUUACACAGGCAGGGACAGCAACUGGAGAGACUCCCAGAAACUCAGUCCUCCUCCAGAAUACUAGCACCAGCUUCAGAGUUCUCUGGGUCCAUGCUAGCUGAGCUUCUACCUCCCUGCCUCUCCAGUCUAAAAGAAUCCAUUCCCCAGCAUUUUACUUAUUCCUCAGAGUCCCACCCCUGCCUCAGUCCUUGCCCCAGACCCACCACUCAACUAUGCCAUGCUCCUCCCCUCUGGGCAGAACCUGGAGCACCUUCUGGACCACAGCUACAGCAGGAGGGAUUGAGGCUAGACAUUCUGAGCACCUUCCCAGUGGCAGAGAGGAGUGGUGCUGAGGAGUUGAGCAGGGGGCCAAGGAAGGGAUGCGAGCUUGAGUCCAGGCCCGAGAUCCUCAGCCUGACUUUGCAUCUUGCUGGGAGAGGCAUCAUUCAUCCACCCAGGGGUGGAGAUGGGGCAGGAGGAGGGGAAUGAAAAACACCCACAGCCCAUUAACCUACUUUUGCAACUUCAUUAAAACAGAGUCUUCGACAUGUUGCCAUAAAUUGUCUUCUGAGGAGGAAGCCAGAUCCAACAUCAAGUUCUAGCAGUGAAGCUUCAGAGAAAAGGCUGGGAUAGCCAGAUGACAAGCUGAGGCCUAGAAUGAUUUAGGCUGAGGAUACCAUCUGCCUGAGAGCCCCCUCCUCUUGGAGUCUUGCUCCUCAAAAUGUGACUUAAGAACCAGCAGCAUCAGCAUCCCUGGAAGCGUGCUACCAAUGAAUCUUGGGCCUCAAUUCAGACCUAUUCAAUCCAACUCUCCAGUUUAGCAAGGUCCCAAGGUGAUUUUUAUGCACAUUAAAGUCUGAAAGCAAUAGUCUAAAGAACCAGAAAUGCCAGACCAGGGGUCCAACAGGGAAACUGAAUGCCUAAGACAUUCAUUCAUUCAUUUACCCAUUCAAUAAAUACUUAAUAAGCA